AACACCUGCAUGUAUUGUCUCCGUCUACACACGUACAACAUAGACAAAAUGUGUUUACAAAGUAUGAGUAGAAUAGUGAACUCAAUUUUGGUUCUAGAGUAAAUAUAUAUGUACUUAUUAUAAAACUGAAUAGUGGCAAUAUUUCUAAGUAUUUAAAAAAAAAAAAUUUAAAUGUUGAAAAGUUAAAGGCCAUUUAAAAAUGUUGACAUUUUCGCUAUUUCUAAACAAUAUAAUGAACAUUAUAUUGGGAAUAAUAGAAAAAAUGCUCUUGCCCUCAGAAAUAUUUUGACAGUUCAAUUUUAUAAUUGGUAUAUUUACUUUAGAACCAAAAUUAAACGAGUUCUACUCAGACAGCGUAAAUGCCUCAGUAAACACGUUUUUUCUAUGUCGAACAUGUGUAUGACAGAAACAACACAUGCAGCUACGAAGUCCUCUUAAGAAAGAAACUUUAGUGGCAAACUUGUGCACGGGGGCGUGAUAUCACUACACAUUAAGUUAACAGAUGGUACUCAGAUGAGGCAACAGAUGAUUGCCUGACCACCAUCAACAAAAACUGGUCACCAUAAAGUAAGAUUUUGUCAAGUACCUAUACUAAAUGUUAUAACACAAAAUGUUCAUUCAAAUAAAACUUACCGAUAAACAUA